UAAUCAAAGCUUAAAAACAUAAGAAAAGGAUUUAUAAAAACAAACCAGCUGGAAACGCUGUACAGAAAAAAGCCAGUUAAUCUAUUAGUAUCAGAAACAAAAAUUGUGAGUGGCAUGCAUUUUUGCUGUUGGUUCGGGCUGUUAGUUGGGGUUGCUAGGUGGGGCUGCCAUGUGGGCUGUUGGUUGGAGCUGCCGAGUGGGGUUGUUGGGUGGGGUUGUUGGUUGGGGUUGCUAGGUGGGGCUGCCAUGUGGGCUGUUGGUUGGAGCUGCCGAAUGGGGUUGUUGGGUGAGGCUGUUGGUUGGGGUUGCUAAGUGGGGCUGUUGGAUGGGGUUGCUAGGUAGGGCUGCCAUGUGGGCUGUUGGUUGGAGCUGCCGAGUGGGGUUGUUGGGUGGGGCUGUUGGUUGGGGUUGCUAGGUAGGGCUGCCAUGUGGGCUGUUGGGUGGGGCUAGAGUUCACUUCCCCUGUACCAGGUGCUGGAUCAUGUCCAGUGGCAGCGGGAAGAUGAUGGUGGAGUU